AACAGAAAUUGGACAAGGAAAAAAAAUGAGGUGGUCGAUGAGAAACUCAUCAUGAACAGUCUGUGUAUCUCCACUCUGCUAUUAUGUAUGACUUUAAUAUGCUACUCCUUUUGUUUAAAUGAUGUCCUUAGACUGUAGGAAAAUGUCCUGUUCUUUCUCAUAGAGCACAGUACAUAAAGUACUCAGAUCAACAUCUAAUACUUGUUAAGGGCAGAAAAUAAUCCAAGGCCCAGCUAUUCUGUGACACUGACUCCUUAGGGGUACAAAUAAUGACUGCUGUCAAAGAUCAUUGUUGACUCUCCAGCACAAUUGAUUUCUUGUGAUAUCACAGACUUACAGGUGACAUGGCAGACCCCACCAGGACUCUGCCCUUACUGACUUCCUUCUCUAGGUCAGAAAAUCUCCAACAUGAGCUGGAAUAGUCCACAGCUCAGGAUGAGAGCCUCUUGCCAACAGAGCUGCUGCAGCAGGAGCACUAAGUGUCUUAAGCAACACCCUUUAUGAGAACUGAGGAAGCUGAAGGAAUCCAUAGUCAACCGGAACCCCUGACAUUCUCCACUCGAUGAUCAAGGCCUCCUCAGAGCAAGACAUGUACUACUAGUUGUCAAAUCACCAGUGAGGCAAAUAUCAUCUGCCCUACAUGUGGUCCCUCUAUAAUCUGAUCCAUGUAUUAGCUGACUCACUAGUUAUAGAGUAAAAAGAUCAUCAAGAAGGAUAUUGAGUUUCAAAAAAAAAAAAAACCCACCAAGAAUUAUGCAGAAAAAGCUGACAUCUACCAGCAAGUGUUCCC